rnacentral:lncRNA from 1 species
AGCACACACUCGACUGAAGGUGCGAUGGUUCACACAGCAGGCUCAAGAUGAGAAAGCACAGGCAAAAUUAUGACAAAUGACAUCUGGGGAAUGAAUACCUCUCUGCCAAGACAGUGGGAACUAACUGUGCUGUACAGCCUUCAGAUGAAACAGCACUGAGUCCUGGACUGCACCAGGAACUGAGGCAGAGAAAAUUCCACUCAGUAAAAGACACCACGCAGAAAAUUUCCACUUUUGUAUGAUUCCCUCCAUGGAACCCUUAGAGAGUGAACUCCAGAAACAGACAGGAAAAGGUGGUGCCCAGGGGAAGAGGACAGAAAGGAAGAGGAGGUGGAAAUUCACUGAUACAGAGUUUACCAUGGGGAAAGAGCAAACCUGGAGACGGAGGGAUGACAGUCAUGUAUCCAUGUGAACCACUACGCAACACACAGCUGUAGUUUAAACACCGGAUAAAAAGGCAUAUUUGAUGCCACGGGUACUAUAUCACAAAAACUAGAAUGAAUGAACAGGAAGAAAAAAUCUUCCACUAAGCAGCUUGCUGUUAUCUGGGACCCAGACAUGAAGCAUGAUGAUGCCCUCCUCACAGGGCCACCAGGAUUCAGAGUCAUCGAUGCUGACAAGUUUUUCUUACAGAUAACUCCAAUGACCGUCAGCUCACCCACGUCCAAUGACAGCACAGCCAACUGCACAUCAGGCUAACCCCUGCCCCCUAGGUUGAUUCGUCGCCCCAAUUCAGCAGGAAGUAGUUACAGAAGACAGACUCUCCGCCAAUUUUCCGCCUGCCAUGGACAUGUUGGCUGUCGAUUGUCAUCCAAAAUCAAAGAGUGGGGAAUGUUAGGAGAUCGCACAUGUUAAAAUAUAACCACCCCCCAGCCAUUUUAUAUCUUACUUCCGGGUUCUUUCCCGACUCUGAGUCCUUUCUCCCGCUGAAAUUGUAAAGCACGAAACUAGAGCCUCUCCAAGGCGCGAAAUUCAAAAGACAACCUGGCUUGCGAUAGGAUAACAAAGACCGCUCCUCCCAAGGAAGGAUCUUCCGCUGCCCGCCCUAUAAGUAUCCCAGUACUUCCUCUUCUCGCUCUCUCGCUCUCUGCCCUCCGCCUCCUGCUCACCUCCCUCUAAUAAAAAUCUCCUGCCAGACCUCUCGGAGCGUGAGUGGCAUAAUUGGGUAAGGGGCACCCAAAGGGGGCUCGAGACCCCUUUCACUGACUUAAAAAGAAAUCUUUUUUCAAAUAGAC